GGAAGGAUGACCGAGUGGUUUAUGGUACUGGUCUUGAAAACCAGCGAGGGUAACACCUCCGUGAGUUCGAAUCUCACUCCUUCCGCCA
rnacentral:tRNA from 1 species